AUCGCAUCUCUGCCUUUUGGCUAAGAUCAAGUGUAGUAUCUGUUCUUAUCAGUUUAAUAUCUGAUAUGUUCCGUAUCAGGGGACAUCAUAUUACAUGGAUUUUUAUCAAUGGGAGUUGAAAAAGGGGCUUGCUCCAUUCACUCGGCGCGUCGACCCGGUAUUGCAGCGCCGGCGGGAACGGUGCACCCUUC